AUACGUAGGGGGCGAGCGUUGUCCGGAAUGAUUGGGCGUAAAGGGCGCGUAGGCGGCCCGGUAAGUCUGGAGUGAAAGUCCUGUUUUUAAGAUGGGAAUUGCUUUGGAUACUGUCGGGCUUGAGUGCAGGAGAGGUAAGUGGAAUUCCCAGUGUAGCGGUGAAAUGCGUAGAGAUUGGGAGGAACACCAGUGGCGAAGGCGACUUACUGGACUGUAACUGACGCUGAGGCGCGAAAGUGUGGGGAGCAAACAGGAUUAGAUACCCUGGUAGUCCACACUGUAAACGAUGAAUGCUAGGUGUAGGGGGUAUCGACCCCUUCUGUGCCGCAGUCAACACAAUAAGCAUUCCGCCUGGGGAGUACGGCCGCAAGGCUAAAACUCAAAGGAAUCGACGGGG
rnacentral:rRNA from 1 species